rnacentral:lncRNA from 1 species
AUGCGCACACGAGGCCCAGGUGUCCUCAGAGCCCCCGGCGGCCCGAGGCGCGCAGUCCCGCCGCCGCUGCGGGCGUCGGGCCGAAGACCGAGCUGCGGCAGGACCGAGCGGCGGCAGGACCGAGCGACGGCAGGCGGCAGCUCCCGGAGAGGCCCCGCUGCGUUUCCAAAGCCUCAGGCAAAAUGCCCUCCACGGGCUUUGCGAAGCCCACCUAGGAGGCGGGGCCUUUCCUUCCCGGAGGCCGCCCGGUCCGGAGCUCGCGUCCGGCUGAGACUGAGCCCCAACCCGGUCCCACGCGCCGACCCCCGCCCCUCAGCCCCCACUCUCCUCAGAAGCCCAACUCAGGAAAAGUGGAGAAACUCCGCUUUCCAGGGCGCCCAGCGACCGGGACCCCAGCGGCGCCGGCGGGCUCAGAAGGCGGGUCACGAGACAGCACGUGUGACACGGUCUUGUCUGCGAGGACACACGGACACUGUGCACAGAAACCCGGAGGGUUCGAAGCCACCAGAAGUAUGCAACACCAGACUCUGUUUUGGGAUGACUGGAUUAUAGGAAAAUAAUCACAGCCACCAGUGGGAAGAGAGUCAGUGGAUGGAUCCUGGGCAUGACCUUGCUCCUUAGUGACCCCAUGACCGUCCCCCUGGAGGUAAGCUGUGUGAGGGCUGUGUAAAUUAUUCUAGGAUGACGGUGUGAUUA